UACAGAGGUCCCAAGCGUUGUUCGGAUUCAUUGGGCGUAAAGGGUGUGUAGGUGGCGCUGUAAGUCGGGUGUGAAAUCUCGGGGCUUAACUCCGAAACUGCAUUCGAUACUGCGGUGCUUGAGGACUGGAGAGGAGACUGGAAUUCAUGGUGUAGCAGUGAAAUGCGUAGAGAUCAUGAGGAAGACCAGUGGCGAAGGCGGGUCUCUGGAGAGUUCCUGACACUGAGGCACGAAGGCCAGGGGAGCAAACGGG
rnacentral:rRNA from 1 species